rnacentral:rRNA from 1 species
GACGAACGCUGGCGGCGUGCUUAACACAUGCAAGUCGAACGGGCCUGACCUUUUUUGGGUCUGCUGCGUGGCGAACGGGUGAGUUACUCGUGAAUAACCUGCCAACUGCUCCUGGAUCACGCUCUUACAGGGGUACUAAUACGGGGUGUGCUGGUGCUGCCGCAUGGUGAUGCCGGGAUAGGUUCCCCUUUCUUUUGAGGCUCUGGCGGGGGAUGGGCUCGCGGCCUCUCAGUAUGUUGGUGGGGUGGUGGCCUCCCAAGGCGGUGACGGGUAGCCAGCCUGAGGGGGGGGACGGGGACACUGGGGCUGAGCCGCGGCCCAGACUCCUGCGGGAGGCAGCAGUGGGGGGUGUAGGGCGAUGGGCGGAAGCCUGACGCAGCGACGCCGCGUGAGUGACGGAGGCCUGCGGGAUGUGAGCCUCUUUCGCCGGUGGAGAAGGCUCCCCCGUGUGGAGUACUGACUGUAGCCAGGUGAAGAAGCGCCGGCUAACUACGUG